GGCGCUGGGGGAGCCGGAAGGGGCGUCGGAGGCCUCCGGGGCCUCCCCGGCCUCCGGAGCCUCCGGUGCUUCCGGGGCCGC
rnacentral:tRNA from 1 species